CGUAGGGUGCAAACGUUGUUCGGAAUCACUGGGCAUAAAGAGCGCGUAGGCGGUCUGAUAAGUCCUGUGUGAAAGCCCCCGGCUUAACCGGGGAAUUGCACAGGAUACUGUCGGGCUAGAGUACAGGAGGGGAGAGCGGAAUUCCUGGUGGAGCGGUGAAAUGCGUAGAUAUCAGGAGGAACGCCAGUGGCGAAAGCGGCUCUCUGGUCUGUUACUGACGCUGAGGUGCGAAAGCUAGGGGAGCAAACGGGAUUAGAUACCCCGGUAGUCCUAGCCCUAAACGAUGGGUACUAAGUAGAGGGAACUCCGAUGUUCUCUCUGCCGGAGCUAAUGUAUUAAGUACCCCGCCUGGGGAGUAUGGUCGCAAGGCUA
rnacentral:rRNA from 1 species